AUUUAAAAAAAGGAAAGUUUAUAAAAAACUGUCAAAAUCAAACGUUAUUUAUCAACGGAACUGGUGAAAACAAUUGUUAUAUUCCUGACUUGAUACAUGUAUAUAUAAGCCUUGUUUUAUAGCUAGCUAAACCUGAGAACAGUACCACAUUUAUGCCAGUUCCAUAAAAUUUCGUUAAUUUCACAAAAUUGGGGAUGCAAACUAAAGCAGAUAACUCAGGUUGUACUAUUGUUUGUCUGUUUGUCUUGUUCAUUUUUAGCCAUGGCGUUUUCAGUUUUUUUUUUUCGAUUGAUGAGUUUGACUGUCCCUCUGGUAUCUUUCGUCCCUCUUUUAAUUUGACAAUAAUUGGGAUCUAGCAUCGAAAACUGUGUAAAAUACAUAACAGACAUACAACACAACUAACUAUCAAACAAACAUACAAAUAAAUCGAACAAAGACAUCAAAAAUAAAAUUGUUGUAGUUCAUUGAUAGUAAAUUGACAAAAGACUCCAAUAAAAGAAAAAUGAAGUUAAAGUCUGAGUGACUGGUGAAACAUGAUGUUAAUCUAAUUAUUGAACCAAUGCAUGCAUAUAUUAUAAAUUUUGUUAUCUGUGAACGAUUUUAUCAUAUUGUUUUACGCAUCAAUGUCGUAUAAACGGUUAGUGAUGUUGUGAUAAUAUGUCAACUUAUUAAUGGUCGUGUUUUGAAACCGAAGUUUACCGAUUGUCAACUAUUUAAACAAUCAACAAAGAAGGAUAUUCAAGUACGUACGUGUAUAACAUGCACACAAGGGUUACUUUCAAUAUCGUAAUAGCUACAUAGUGCUACGUAGAUUUUUGUCUACUGAACGAGUAG
rnacentral:lncRNA from 1 species